UUCCGGUUGAUCCUGCCGGACCCGACUGCUAUCAGAGUGGGACUAAGCCAUGCGAGUCAACGUAGCAAUACGUGGCAUACGGCUCAGUAACACGUAGUCAACAUGCCCAGGGGACGAGGAUAACCUCGGGAAACUGAGGAUGAACCUCGAUAGGCCAUGAUUUCUGGAAUGAUUCUUGGCUCAAACCUAUAUGGCCCCUGGAUUGGACUGCGGCCGAUCAGGCUGUUGGUGAGGUAAUGGCCCACCAAACCUAUUGCCGGUACGGGCUCUGAGAGGAGGAGCCCGGAGAUGGGCACUGGGACAAGGGCCCAGGCCCUAUGGGGCGCAGCAGGCGCGAAACCUCUGCAAUAGGCGAAAGCUUGACAGAGUUACUCUGAGUGAUUUCCGCUAAGGGAAUCUUUUGGCACCUCUAAAAAUGGUGCAGAAUAAGGGGUGGGCAAGUCUGGUGUCAGCCGCCGCGGUAAUGCCAGCACCCCGAGUGGUCGGGACGAUUAUUGGGCCUAAAGCAUCCGUAGCCGGUCCUGCAAGUCUUCCGUUAAAUCCAGCUGCUCAACAGAUGGGCUGCGGGAGAUACUACAGGGCUAGGAGGCGGGAGAGGCAAGCGGUACUUUAUGGGUAGGGGUAAAAUCCGCUGAUCCAUAGAAGACCACCAGUGGCGAAGGCGGCUUGCCAGAACGCGCUCGACGGUGAGGGAUGAAAGCUGGGGGAGCAAACCGGAUUAGAUACCCGGGUAGUCCCAG
rnacentral:rRNA from 1 species